rnacentral:rRNA from 1 species
AUUUCCCUCUUUCUUUCUGCCUAACACAUGCAAGUCGAACGGCAGCACAGUAAGAGCUUGCUCUUACGGGUGGCGAGUGGCGGACGGGUGAGGAAUACAUCGGAAUCUACUUUUUCGUGGGGGAUAACGUAGGGAAACUUACGCUAAUACCGCAUACGACCUACGGGUGAAAGCAGGGGAUCUUCGGACCUUGCGCGAUUGAAUGAGCCGAUGUCGGAUUAGCUAGUUGGCGGGGUAAAGGCCCACCAAGGCGACGAUCCGUAGCUGGUCUGAGAGGAUGAUCAGCCACACUGGAACUGAGACACGGGCCAGACUCCUACGGGAGGCAGCAGUGGGGAAUAUUGGACAAUGGGCGCAAGCCUGAUCCAGCCAUACCGCGUGGGUGAAGAAGGCCUUCGGGUUGUAAAGCCCUUUUGUUGGGAAAGAAAAGCAGCAGGUUAAUACCCCGCUGUUCGGACGGUACCCAAAGAAUAAGCACCGGCGAACUUCGU